GCUUACACAUGCAGUCGAGCGGAAGGCCCUUCGGGGUACUCGAGCGGCGAACGGGUGAGUAACACGUGAGCAACCUGCCCUAGGCUUUGGGAUAACCCUCGGAAACGGGGGCUAAUACCGAAUAUUACCUCUUGUCGCAUGGUGGGGGGUGGAAAGUUUUUCGGCCUGGGAUGGGCUCGCGGCCUAUCAGCUUGUUGGUGGGGUGAUGGCCUACCAAGGCGACGACGGGUAGCCGGCCUGAGAGGGCGACCGGCCACACUGGGACUGAGACACGGCCCAGACUCCUACGGGAGGCAGCAGUGGGGAAUAUUGCACAAUGGGCGGAAGCCUGAUGCAGCGACGCCGCGUGAGGGAUGACGGCCUUCGGGUUGUAAACCUCUUUCAGCAGGGACGAAGCGUAAGUGACGGUACCUGCAGAAGAAGCACCGGCCAACUACGUGCCAGCAGCCGCGGUAAGACGUAGGGUGCGAGCGUUGUCCGGAUUUAUUGGGCGUAAAGAGCUCGUAGGCGGCUUGUCGCGUCGACCGUGAAAACUUGGGGCUCAACCCCAAGCCUGCGGUCGAUACGGGCAGGCUAGAGUUCGGUAGGGGAGACUGGAAUUCCUGGUGUAGCGGUGAAAUGCGCAGAUAUCAGGAAGAACACCGGUGGCGAAGGCGGGUCUCUGGGUCGAUACUGACGCUGAGGAGCGAAAGUGUGGGGGAGCGAACAGAUUAGAUACCCUGGUAGUCCACGCUGUAAACGUGUGGGCGCUAGGUGUGGGGGGCUUCCUNGGUUCUCUGUGCCGCAGCUAACGCAUUAGCUCCCCCCCCUAGGGAGUACAGCAGGGAGGCUAAUAUUGAAUGGAAUUGAUGGGGGUCCGUUAAUUAUCGUACCUGCUCAUUAAUUCUACUCGCUCUGA
rnacentral:rRNA from 1 species